rnacentral:rRNA from 1 species
GAUCAACGCUGGCGGCGUGCCUAACACAUGCAAGUCGAACGCGAAAGUUCCUUCGGGAAUGAGUAGAGUGGCGUCCGGGUGAGUAACGCGUGGGUAAUCUACCCUUGGGUGGGAAGUAACCAGUCGAAAGAUUGGCUAAUACCGCAUAAUGCAGCGGCUCGACAUCGAGACAGUUGUUAAAGACGCAAUCGCAAGGUUGCGCGCCUAAGGAGGAGCCUGCGUCUGA